CGCUGAAGCACUAAGGCCAGGGGAGCGAAGGGGAUUAGAUACCCCCGUAGUCCUGGCUUCAAACGAUGUGGGCUUGGUGUCGGCCCCCUACAGAGGGUCGUUGCCGGAGCUAACGUGUUAAGCCCACCGCCUGGGGAUUACGUCCGCAAGGAUGAAACUCAAGGGAAUUGACGGGGGCCCACACAACCGGUGGAGCACGUGGUUUAAUUCGAUGAUAAGCGAAGAACCUUACCAGGGCUUGACCUAGCGGUAGUAGGAUCCUGAAAGGGAAACGACCUCAAGCUUUGCUUGAGGAGCCGUGGCAGGUAUUGCAUGGCUGUCGUCAGCUCGUGUCGUGGGACGUUGGGUUAAGUCCCGUAACGAGCGCAACCCCUGCUCUUAAUUGCCAGCGGGUAAUGCCGGGUACUAUAAGGGGACUGCCGGAGAAUAUCCGGAGGAAGGAGGGGAUGACGUCAAGUCAUUAUGAUCCUUAUGCUCUGGGCGACACACGUGCUACAAUGGGCGCUACAAUGAGGAGCAAGUCUGCAAGGACGAGCAAAUCUCAAAAAGGUGCCCCCGGUGCGGAUUGGGGUCUGCAACCCGACCCCAUGAAGAUGGAAUCGGUAGUAAUUGCGGGUCAGCCAUACCGCGGUGAAUAUGUACUUGGGCCUUGUACACACCGCCCGUCACACCAAUCGAGUAGGCGACACCCGAAGUCGACGUAUGUUGCCGAAGGUGUUACCUGCAAGAGGGGUGAAGUCGUAACAAGGUAGCCGUAGA
rnacentral:rRNA from 1 species